UACGAUCAAUGAUGUAUCCUUCAGCGUUUCUAUAACAUUUUCGGUUUUUCCAGAUCUUUUAUGCUUUAUUGUGUAUUCCCAUCGUAGAUAUUAAUGCAUUUUAUGGAAGAGAAAAUUGGAAUGUUGUAUAUUCUGAAUGUAGAUUGAAGCUGAAGACUUCUAUCGCGAUGCUAGACGCUUCUGUUGUAUUUAAAUAAUGCAGUUGAAAUAUUUGUAUUUGUAAGGUAUACGCAGUAAAUAUUGAGUAUAUAUUUUGGAAUAGAAUCGGAAAUCUAAGAAUGCGUAUAUGUUUCUGUCGACUAGAAAAACUAUUAAUUUAAAUAAAAUCAUCGAUACUCUUGAUUACAUAUAAAUGAGAAAACAUGGCAACGCUGGGAAAAGUAACUGUGUAUACCCUCAACAAAUGUGUCAGGAAGGACGCUUUCAUUUCUGUAGAUUAUUUUCUUUCUAUAAAAAAAGAAUUGUUUUUAUUGAACGCCUUGAGGUGUUUAAAUUAAUGUAGGAUUGGAUAAAAAUUGUAUCUGUUGAGAGUACUAUAUAAUUUAUAAAUUAAAAUACAAUAU